GCAGAUUCGUGGGAAGAUAGGGGUAGAUUCUAAAGCAUCCAACAUUUCCAGCAUCGCACUAUUACAAAGUACCAAAACUUCUGCCAUGGGUAAUUAUGGAGUAACCUACUUGGAAGGGAGCUGUUUCCCCAGACUCUCACACUUGGUGGGUAUCUCGUGUCCUACAAGCCUGCUUCGUAUGUUUGCUCUGUAUAAUGUAAGUGUGGGUUUCUCUGUUGUGCAGACAAAUAACCAAUCAUUUAAAAAAUUGCUGAAACAUAUUUGCCAGGCUAUCUCGUGACACUCUAAUUCUCAAGCUAAUUAUGAACCUGCAAUUUUAAUUUGCUGUUUUCAGUUAAUUUUAUGUUCUGUUGGAACAGAAGUAUGUGAUUUUCAUUCCUUUCUGCUGGCGUGUUUACCUUUUCCAAAUCUCAUCUCACUCAUCUGUCCUCAGAAGUGCAAAUCAUUGCAGCCUCUGUUGGUAUAGAAAGCUAUCCGUGCUUCAAAUGGGUUUAUCAAAUCAAUGUGCUCUUCAGAAUGAAGAUUGAUCAGUGGCAUUUUAAUAAUUUCAGUAAUAUCUGUCUCUUUUCUAAAGCAUCUUAAUUCCUGCAUCCCCCGGAGUCCUGCUGUGAGGGACCAUGUUCUAUUAAGCUGUUCACAGUGAUGCCCAGAUCUUUUAUCUCAGAUGCUUGUGUUAAUGUAUUGGUGUCACUCGAUUUUUUUUCUUCCUUUGUGGUUACUUUUCACUUGUCAAUACUCAAUUUCAGCCCAGCUUUUGGUGGUACUUAAGUUCUUCCUCCUCUUCCUCCCUGCUGAAUUAGCUGUGGGCUAUUUGCAAAUCUCACUAAGAUGGUGUUCUUCCCUUUUCAUGGAAGGUCAUUGAAGUUGAGCAAUGGUGAGGUUAGUGUGGAGGUUAUUCUUUCAUUAGGUUAAAGCCUGACUAAAAGCCUUUCUAUCCCAUAGAGUCAUUAAGAUUGGAGAAGGCCUCUAAGAUCAUUGAGUCCAACCAUCCAGCUACCACUGGUAUGUCUCAGUGACCACAUCCCUCAGUGCCACAUCUCCACGGCUCUGGAUCACCUCCAGGGGCAGUGACUCCAGCGCUCCCUGGGCAGCUGUGCCACUGCAUCACCAUUCUUUCUGAGAAGGGAUGUUUCCUAAUAUCCAACCUGAACCUCCCCUGGUGCUACUUAAAGCCAUUGCCUCUUGUUCUAUUGCUGUUACCUGGGAGAAGAGUAUGGUCAACUUCUCAUUCUGAGCUACUGGAUUUUUUUCUUAACGUCUUGCAGAGAUCUGGAGGUGCCCAAUUCUUCUUUGCAUUUUUGGUACUGUAUCUCAGUCAGCCUGGUUUUGACUUUUGUGUUACUAUUCUACUUUUACUUUGACUUUUGUGUUACUAUUUUACCUGGUGCAGAACUAAGCUCAUCACUCCCAGGAGAAUUUAUAGCCUGAGCCUUAAAGAAAGUAGCGAUGUUUGGUAGCUGACUGUGGUGUAGAUAGGUAUUUCUGUUAGCACAUGAAUGUCUUAAUAGUUUAGUCAGCAAUGCAGCUAAGUAUUGCAACAGUUGUCAUAUGAUUGUGCACUUCCCUAGUGGACCAAUUUUAUACCAAGAAGUGGGAUGAGGUACCCAGCCUGCUUUUAAAACAAACAAACCACUAAGGAGGAAAAAAUCUUAAAAUAGUUUCGAAUUGUGCUCCUUUCUGUUUGCCAUAUAGUGCUAGAUGAACCUGAAUCAGCACCUGGUAAUUAGUGAAUGUCAUUGUGGUUGUCCCCUUUGAACAGAGCAGUGUUAGCCCUCAGCUGGCCCAGGCAUCAGCACAAAUUCUUGUGUUCUUCACCUGGUUGUGAAAGCUGCUUCUGUUUUGUUCUUUGAAAACUGAAGGGUUCAUUGUUUGUCUGAACUUGAAGCUAGCACUGUCAGAAAGCACAGUGGAAUGAGUUUUUGCUGGAAAGACUUCUGUAGGUACCAUGUGGAAUGAGCCAGGCAGCUGAGCACAGCCAGCACCCCCUCCUGCACCAGGCUGCUCCAGGCUUCUGCCCCAUGCAGCAUUUCAGUGCCUUAAAAAGGAAUACUGGGAGAGGCUUUUCACCAAGUAGAAAAUGAGCAGUGGUGUAGAAAAUAUGCCGUGAUUGAAAAAAGGCUGAUUUAAUUAAACAUUUAUGGCUGGGACACUGAUGUAAACAGCCUGUGGCUCCUUGCUUGCAAAUUAGGUGUGUCUUUAUAGCUAAUCUAGCUGUUUGUGCUUGCAGGAUCAAAGUUUCUAAUCACUCCGAACUCAAAAUACCGAAUCCAGUACAGAGUUGUCAUGUGUUGGAUAUAUAGAAUGACAGGGCUGUCGCUGCUUGAAGGGAAUCCAAAGGCCGUGCUGUUCCCACUUGUGAGUGCUGACUGAAGGCAGCAGGGGUUUAACUUUGGCUUUGUCUCAG
ensembl:lncRNA